rnacentral:rRNA from 1 species
AAAUGAAUAGACGGGCACCCGCACAAGCGGUGGAGCAUGCUGUUUAAUUCGACGAUACGCGAAAAACCUUACCUAGGCUUGACAUCCCUGGCAAAGCUAUAGAGAUAUAGUGGAGGUUACCCAGGUGACAGGUGGUGCAUGGUUGUCGUCAGCUCGUGUCGUGAGAUGUUCGGUUAAGUUCGAUAACGAGCGCAACCCUUAUUAUUAGUUGCUAACAUUUAGUUGAGUACUUUAAUAAGACUGCCGGUGAUAAAUCGGAGGAAGGUGGGGAUGACGUCAAAUCAUCAUGCCCCUUAUGUCUAGGGCUACAGGCGUGCUACAAUGGCCAUUACAAUGAGAUGCAAGAUCGCGAGAUGGAGCAAAUCUUUAAAAAUGGUCUAAGUUCGAAUUGGAGUCUGCAAUUCGACUCCAUGAAGUUGGAAUCGCUAGUAAUCCUAAAUCAGAAUGUUAGGGUGAAUACGUUCCCGGGUGUUGUACACACCGCCCGU